AGAGUUUGAAUCCUGGCUCAGGAUGAACGCUGGCGGCGUGCCUAAUACAUGCAAGUCGAGCGAACGGACGAGAAGCUUGCUUCUCUGAUGUUAGCGGCGGACGGGUGAGUAACACGUGGAUAACCUACCUAUAAGACUGGGAUAACUUCGGGAAACCGGAGCUAAUACCGGAUAAUAUUUUGAACCGCAUGGUUCAAAAGUGAAAGACGGUCUUGCUGUCACUUAUAGAUGGAUCCGCGCUGCAUUAGCUAGUUGGUAAGGUAACGGCUUACCAAGGCAACGAUGCAUAGCCGACCUGAGAGGGUGAUCGGCCACACUGGAACUGAGACACGGUCCAGACUCCUACGGGAGGCAGCAGUAGGGAAUCUUCCGCAAUGGGCGAAAGCCUGACGGAGCAACGCCGCGUGAGUGAUGAAGGUCUUCGGAUCGUAAAACUCUGUUAUUAGGGAAGAACAUAUGUGUAAGUAACUGUGCACAUCUUGACGGUACCUAAUCAGAAAGCCACGGCUAACUACGUGCCAGCAGCCGCGGUAAUACGUAGGUGGCAAGCGUUAUCCGGAAUUAUUGGGCGUAAAGCGCGCGUAGGCGGUUUUUUAAGUCUGAUGUGAAAGCCCACGGCUCAACCGUGGAGGGUCAUUGGAAACUGGAAAACUUGAGUGCAGAAGAGGAAAGUGGAAUUCCAUGUGUAGCGGUGAAAUGCGCAGAGAUAUGGAGGAACACCAGUGGCGAAGGCGACUUUCUGGUCUGUAACUGACGCUGAUGUGCGAAAGCGUGGGGAUCAAACAGGAUUAGAUACCCUGGUAGUCCACGCCGUAAACGUGAUGAGUGCUAAGUGUUAGGGGGUUUCCGCCCCUUAGUGCUGCAGCUAACGCAUUAAGCACUCCGCCUGCAGGSWGUACGACCGCAAGGUUGAAACUCAAAGGAAUUGACGGGGACCCGCACAAGCGGUGGAGCAUGUGGUUUAAUUCGAAGCAACGCGAAGAACCUUACCAAAUCUUGACAUCCUUUGACAACUCUAGAGAUAGAGCUUUCCCCUUCGGGGGACAAAGUGACAGGUGGUGCAUGGUUGUCGUCAGCUCGUGUCGUGAGAUGUUGGGUUAAGUCCCGCAACGAGCGCAACCCUUAAGCUUAGUUGCCAUCAUUAAGUUGGGCACUCUAAGUUGACUGCCGGUGACAAACCGGAGGAAGGUGGGGAUGACGUCAAAUCAUCAUGCCCCUUAUGAUUUGGGCUACACACGUGCUACAAUGGACAAUACAAAGGGCAGCGAAACCGCGAGGUCAAGCAAAUCCCAUAAAGUUGUUCUCAGUUCGGAUUGUAGUCUGCAACUCGACUACAUGAAGCUGGAAUCGCUAGUAAUCGUAGAUCAGCAUGCUACGGUGAAUACGUUCCCGGGUCUUGUACACACCGCCCGUCACACCACGAGAGUUUGUAACACCCGAAGCCGGUGGAGUAACCUUUUAGGAGCUAGCCGUCGAAGGUGGGACAAAUGAUUGGGGUGAAGUCGUACAA
rnacentral:rRNA from 1 species